CUCCAAAAGAUUUGUUUGAAGAUGUUGCUGAGGAGCUAGAGAAACAGUAUCAUGAGGAUAAGACUCGGAUAAAGAAUGUUGUGAAGUUGAAAAAGGUUGUUUUGCCAUCAACCUGGACUCUUGAAGAUUUUAAGGCUGCUAUUGUGGAGGAUGUCAGCCCUCCACCUGUAUCAGAUGUGAAUCUAAAGAUAGUAUUUGACGAAUUGCUGGAAAGAGCCAAGGAAAAGGAGGAGAAAGAAGCAAAGAAGCGUAAACGUCUUGCAGAUGAAUUUCUGAAUUUAUUGCACUCUAUUAAGGAAAUAACUGCAUCUUCAAAAUGGGAGACCUGUAAAGAACUUUUUGAAGGAAGCCGAGAGUUCAGUUCUAUCAAUGAGGAGGGCAUAUGCGAGGAGAUAUUUGAGGAAUACAUAGCUCAAUUGAAAGAACAGGCAAAGGAGAAUGAGAGGAAACGGAAGGAGGAAAAGGCUAAAAAGGAAAAGGAGAGAGAGGAAAGGGACAGGAGAAAGUCAAAGCAUAGAAGUGACAAAGAGAGAGGGCAUGAAAGGGAAAAGGAGCACAUAAAGAAGGAUGAAGCUGACACUGAAAUUUUUGAUGUAACAGAAGAUCAUUUUUGUAAUGAUAACAGAAGAUCAGUGAAUGACAAUAACAAGAAACAUAGGAAGAGGCAUAACGAUUCUGUGGAUGAUCUAAAUGAGAGCGAGAAAGAUCGGUCUAAGAGUUCCCACAGACAUAGCAGUGACCACAAAAAGUCAAGACGGCAUGCCUCCACUCCUGAUUCAGAUGGUGAAAGCAGGCAUAAGAGACAUAAGAGAGACCAUCGUAAUGGUUCUCGCAGAAAUGGUGAUCAUCAGGACCUUGAAGAUGGGGAAUUUGGUGAUGAUGGGGAAACUUGGUAGAUAUCUUAUCCUACAGGUGGUUUUUUGCCCUCUGUGCUAUAUCUGUAGUGGAAGACGUUUGUUUUCUGUAGUGUACUUUAUAUUUUCAGCUUACUGUAGUUUCUACCUGCAAUGGCUUCUGCUUUAGUCAGCCCAUUUCUAUGUAACAGUAACAGGCAUUUGGAUAGUUUUUGAGAUGAGUCUAAUUGUUUUAUAACUUUGCAAAAUAAUUUAAGAAAAUCUAAAUAUUAGCGAAAUUACAUAGAAAAAAAA
rnacentral:misc_RNA from 1 species